UCGUGAGAGAGGCCAGGAGAGAGCUUUCCCCCUUAAAACCCUAACAUACUAAAUCCUUCAAAUUAAAGAGGAAAUUGAAGGCUAGUGGAAUGCAUGGAUUAAGAAUGAUGAUCACCUAAGCAUUUCCUACAUCAAGAACGAGAGUAAAGGAAAGCUUGAGUCAUACCCAAGAUAAAGUGACGAAAAAUCAAGGUAAAUCCUCACCUUAGGCGAUUUGGGAGAAUCGGAGCGAGCACGUGUCCAUGUCAUGUUAUACCAAACGCUUCCGCUAGAUUAUUCUCAUCUUUUUGGUCCAUGACUUGUUAUUUUGUACAACUUUGUUAGUAGUUGUACAUUUGUAAAA